rnacentral:rRNA from 1 species
CCUACGGGAGGCUGCAGUGAGGAAUAUUGGUCAAUGGGCGGGAGCCUGAACCAGCCAAGCCGCGUGAAGGAAGAAGGCGCCAAGCGUCGUAAACUUCUUUUGUCGGGGAACAAAGGGCGCCACGUGUGGCGUUGUGAGUGUACCCGAAGAAAAAGCAUCGGCUAACUCCGUGCCAGCAGCCGCGGUAAUACGGAGGAUGCGAGCGUUAUCCGGAUUUAUUGGGUGUAAAGGGGGCGUAGGCGGUCCGGAAAGUCAGCGGGAAAAGCCCGGGGCCCAACCCCGGCGAGCAGUGGAAACUGUCGGACUAUAGACGGCGAGAAGUACGCGGAAUGCGCGGUGUAGCGGUGAAAUGCAUAGAUAUCGCGCAGAACUCCGAUUGCGAAGGCAGCGUACCGGCGCCGGACUGACGCUGAGGCACGAAAGCGUGGGUAUCGAACAGGAUUAGAUACCCUUGUAGUC